AUUUGAAAAGAGAAGUAUGACUUUUAGGCCAUGAAGGUUUCCUUUCAAAUACCUGGUAUGAUGAAAGGACGAUUAAAAAAAAAACAAAAAACUUCAACAGCGGUUAAUACAUGGAACUGAAAGACAGGGAGGUCUACAAGAUGACCCCCAAGUUACCUUCAACUCUAGCAUAUGAAAUCUGCUCACUCACAUACCCAUUAAACACUCUGCCUCUGGCCACGACAUCAACUGACCACGAGAUGGCGAUACAGCUUAACUCAGCACCUGGAUCUGUAACCCCAGCAUCUAGGGAAAGCCGUGCUCAAGAGAAAAUGUUUUAGGGUGCCAACCAUCCCUAAGAGCAAGCAAGAGGGAUGUCAACUAGAGGCCACUGCUAGCGAACAGACCAAGAAAGCUCAUUUGCAUGACUGAAAACAAAGUAUAGUAUCCACACCAGCACAACUUUACCAGGUAGAAAAAUUAGAGGCUAUGGAUCCUCAUCAGACUCUAAACUUCAUUACUGUCAACACUAGAUUUGUUCUCUGUUGAAUACCUGUAAAUAUUUAGAGUGAACAAAUGCACUAAGCAUCAGCUAGGAGUACCUCAAUAUGAUGGGGUCUAGGGAAGAGGGCACUCUUCUGCAAGAGUUCACCAUCAGACUCAUAUAUGUAACAUAUGUUUAAUGGACACAUAUUAUGUGACAAGCUCAUGUAUCAGGUCUCAGAUAAAUAGCAUUAAUAGUGGCUACUAUUAUUCGUUAUUCAUUGAUUGCUAAUGACUACAGACUAUGCAUAGCACUCUACAUUUUAACUCAUUAGAGGUUUAUGGAAACAUUGCAUAUUAAGAUUAGUAGCCCUGUUUUACAGAUAAUGAAAGAUAGGCUCAAAGAAGUUAAGGCAAUUUGCUAAGAUUACUACGAUAGUUACUGAGUUCUGGUUUUACAAUACGGAAAAGCAAGAACACUGAGGAUAGAGGAAAGGUAUACACCAGCAAAUAUAACACAUAUUGUUCCUGACAACAACUAGGAGUGCAGUCAAGGACACGUCCAGAGCACAAUGCUUCUUCCUUGUCUUGGUCCUUGAAAUUCACUUCCACUGGUUCAGAAAAAGAAAAAGAUUUCUGACUUGUUUUACAAUAGCCAUUGUCUCCCAAUUCCCUCAUGGCAGUAUGGUCUUCAUCUAGACCAUUUGGUGAUUCUUAGUCAGAACAUUUUAUUACUUCAUCUGCAACCAAUGCUGCUACUUAGCUUGUACUCUGGGAAAUAUUGCACAGCAAGACUCCUCCAAUCCAUGCAGAAGCUAGAAAGAAGUCAAAGAGACACAUUCUCAGAAUGAUAUAACAAGAAUCCCUCAUCAAGGAUUUGUACCUCUGUUAAAACAUAGUCAAGACCUGGAAUCAACCUAAAUGCUUAUCAAUGAUAGAUUGGAUGAAGAAAAUAUGGUACAUCUAUACCAUGGAAUACUAUGCAGCUGUAAAAAAUGAGAUCAUAUCUUUUGUAGGGACAUUAAUGGAACUGGAGGCCAUUAUCUUUGGAAAACUAACACAAGAACAGAAAACCAAAUAUUGCAUGUUUUCACUUAUAAGUAGUAGCUAAGUUAUGAGAACACAUGGACACAUAGCUAGAAACGGCACACACUGAGGCCUCUC
rnacentral:lncRNA from 1 species